rnacentral:tRNA from 1 species
GGCCCGGUAGCUUAGUUGGUAAAGCACUCGUCUAGCAUACAAAAGUCGUGAUUUCGAAUCUCACCUGAGCAC